rnacentral:rRNA from 1 species
CAGCACCUCAAGUGGUCAGGAUGAUUAUUGGGCCUAAAGCGUCCGUAGCCGGCGCUGUAAGUUUUCGGUUAAAUCUGUACGCUCAACGUACAGGCUGCCGGGAAUACUGCAGCGCUAGGGAGUGGGAGAGGUAGACGGUACUCGGUAGGAAGGGGUAAAAUCCUUUGAUCUAUUGAUGACCACCUGUGGCGAAGGCGGUCUACCAGAACACGUCCGACGGUGAGGGAUGAAAGCUGGGGGAGCAAACCGGAUUAGAUACCCGAGUAGUCC